AUUCUAAAAAUUUUGAUUUAUAUUUUAAGCAACCAUACGAGGGGCUAUCAAAAAGUCUGUGGACUAGCGCCAUAAAAUUAAAGUUGCUUUAGGUAUAUGAAUGAAUUUAUCUAGUUAUCAUAAUCUUUUCUAUCCAAAGAAUAAAUCACUUAUCAUAGAUUUUAUUUUUUAAUAAAUUAGGAAUGUUUUUGUACAUGUGGUGCAACCUUGGAAACGACGUUUUUUCAACCUAGGUGUAUCUAAGAAAAACUAUUGUGAUAUGAACAUUUGACAUCCAAAUAUCCUGGUUUGGAUUAAUUCAGGUCUGUUGCAUGUUGGCAGCUGACACUUGUUCAAUAUUUGCACCAAGAAGCAUACCAGGCAUACCUUCUGUUGUAAGACUGGUACCCAGGUGACCGACAGUCAUAUGGCCACAUUCAGCUGUGCAAUUCUUCAUUCCCAGCCAGAUCUUCUCAACACUUUGUAAGGCUUUUCUCUGUGACUGGUAUAGCGGCACCUCUUACAUCGGAUGGAAAGGAUCUAUGCCAGGCCUCGUUUUUCUUCCCCAUGCUGAUUCCAGUCAAGAGGACCAUCACAGUCUGAAAACUUAUGUAAGAUUUACAUACCUUGAGGUUUCUAAAAUCACCAUGAUGAAAAUUAAAGAAAGACCUGCAAAUUGACUAACUCUCUAUCUGAAAGUGGAUGAAGAUGAGUGUCCAAUAUUUUGCUACAGUGAACGUUACAAUUAUCUUAACCAAAAAGAUGGAACAAUAAUUUUCAUCACACUCAUUAUUAUAAAGAAGAUGCAGUCUGAUUAUGAAAAGACACAAUGAAUUUUCUGGUUAGUAAGUUAAUGGUUAAACCUAAGGAAAACUAUGAAAAGAAUUUUCAGUAUGAAUUUUAGCUACCAGGUAGAUUUUAUUUAUUAGGUCACCUUAGUAAAGUCAGGUGACCUAUUGCUAUCUGUUUUCAUAUGUUGUGUCUCUGUGUCGUCUGUCAUGGGUUAACAUUUGAACAUUUUCAGAUUCUUCUCUGCAAGCACAACAAAUUUAGGCACAAAGCAUCUAUGGAUGAAGGGGAACAAAAAUUUUGAAAUUUUUGGUCCCUGGGGCCAGAGGGUUUGGUACAAAACCACAAAAAUUAAUACAGUCUCUAGAAGACUUCUUCUUUACUACUGGACAUCAACCUGUCAAACUACAUCGUUAUAUCUGGUGAGAAUGAUUCUUCGAUCCAAUUCGCAAGCUGUGAAUUUUAUGGCCCCUGU